GCCAGACUCCUACGGGAGGCAGCAGUGGGGAAUAUUGGGCAAUGGGCGCAAGCCUGACCCAGCAACGCCGCGUGAAGGAAGAAGGCUUUCGGGUUGUAAACUUCUUUUGUCAGGGACGAAGCAAGUGACGGUACCUGACGAAUAAGCCACGGCUAACUACGUGCCAGCAGCCGCGGUAAUACGUAGGUGGCAAGCGUUAUCCGGAUUUACUGGGUGUAAAGGGCGUGUAGGCGGGGACGCAAGUCAGAUGUGAAAACCACGGGCUCAACCUGUGGCCUGCAUUUGAAACUGUGUUUCUUGAGUACUGGAGAGGCAGACGGAAUUCCUAGUGUAGCGGUGAAAUGCGUAGAUAUCAGGAGGAACACCGGUGGCGAAGGCGGCCUGCUGGACUGCGACUGACGUUGAGGCCCGAAAGCGUGGGGAGCAAACAGGAUUAGAUACCCUGGUAA
rnacentral:rRNA from 1 species